CGGGCUCCGGUUCACCCCGGUCGGUGUUCGACCGAUCCGAGGACCCGGCGCC
rnacentral:ncRNA from 1 species